rnacentral:rRNA from 1 species
UACAGAGGCCCCAAGCGUUGUUCGGAUUCAUUGGGCGUAAAGGGUGCGUAGGCGGUGUCGCAAGUCGAAUGUGAAAUCCCGGAGCUCAACUCCGGAACUGCAUUCGAUACUGCGGCACUCGAGGAUUGUAGGGGAGAGUGGAAUUCACGGUGUAGCAGUGAAAUGCGUAGAUAUCGUGAGGAAGACCAGUGGCGAAGGCGACUCUCUGGGCAACUCCUGACGCUGAGGCACGAAGGCUAGGGUAGCGAACGGG